CUACUCCUACGGGAGGCAGCAGUAGGGAAUCUUCCGCAAUGGGCGAAAGCCUGACGGAGCAAUGCCGCGUGAGUGAUGAAGGUUUUCGGAUCGUAAAGCUCUGUUGCCAGGGAAGAACGCUUGGGAGAGUAACUGCUCUCAAGGUGACGGUACCUGAGAAGAAAGCCCCGGCUAACUACGUGCCAGCAGCCGCGGUAAUACGUAGGGGGCAAGCGUUGUCCGGAAUUAUUGGGCGUAAAGCGCGCGCAGGCGGUCAUUUAAGUCUGGUGUUUAAUCCCGGGGCUCAACCCCGGAUCGCACUGGAAACUGGGUGACUUGAGUGCAGAAGAGGAGAGUGGAAUUCCACGUGUAGCGGUGAAAUGCGUAGAUAUGUGGAGGAACACCAGUGGCGAAGGCGACUCUCUGGGCUGUAACUGACGCUGAGGCGCGAAAGUCAUCCCC
rnacentral:rRNA from 1 species